ACCAGACUCCUACGGGAGGCAGCAGUGAGGAAUAUUGGUCAAUGGUCGGGAGACUGAACCAGCCAAGCCGCGUGAGGGAGGAAGGUACAGCGUAUCGUAAACCUCUUUUGUCAGGGAACAAAGGCGGGGACUAGUCCCCGGAUGAGGGUACCUGAAGAAAAAGCAUCGGCUAACUCCGUGCCAGCAGCCGCGGUAAUACGUAGGGGGCAAGCGUUAUCCGGAUUUACUGGGUGUAAAGGGAGCGUAGGCGGGAAGCCAAGUCAGCUGUGAAAACUACGGGCUUAACCUGUAGACUGCAGUUGAAACUGGCUUUCUUGAGUGAAGUAGAGGUUGGCGGAAUUCCGAGUGUAGCGGUGAAAUGCGUAGAUAUCACGAAGAACUCCGAUUGCGAAGGCAGCUUACCAGUCUGCGACUGACGCUCAGGCACGAAAGUGUGGGUAUCGAACAGGAUUAGAUACCCGCGUAAG
rnacentral:rRNA from 1 species